AGGGGCGAGCGUUGUCCGGAUUUACUGGGCGUAAAGGGUGCGUAGGCGGAUAUUUAAGUCAGAUGUGAAAACCCCGGGCUUAACUUGGGGACUGCAUUUGAAACCGGAUAUCUAGAGUGCAGGAGAGGAAAGCGGAAUUCCUAGUGUAGCGGUGAAAUGCGUAGAGAUUAGGAAGAACACCAGUGGCGAAGGCGGCUUUCUGGACUGUAACUGACGCUGAGGCACGAAAGCGUGGGUAGCAAACAGGAUUAGAUACCCUGGUAGUCCACGCUGUAAACGAUGAGUACUAGGUGUAGGAGGUAUCGACCCCUUCUGUGCCGCAGUAAACACAAUAAGUACUCCGCCUGGGAAGUACGAUCGCAAGAUUAAAACUCAAAGGAAUUGACGGGGGCCCGCACAAGCAGCGGAGCAUGUGGUUUAAUUCGAAGCAACGCGAAGAACCUUACCUGGACUUGACAUCCCCUGAAUAGCCUAGAGAUAGGCGAAGCCCUUCGGGGCAGGGAGACAGGUGGUGCAUGGUUGUCGUCAGCUCGUGUCGUGAGAUGUUAGGUUAAGUCCUGCAACGAGCGCAACCCCUAUUAUUAGUUGCUAACAUUAAGUUGAGCACUCUAAUGAGACUGCCCGGGUUAACCGGGAGGAAGGUGGGGAUGACGUCAAAUCAUCAUGCCCCUUAUGUCCAGGGCUACACACGUGCUACAAUGGUGAGUACAACAAGAUGCGAACCCGCGAGGGGGAGCAAAACUUAUAAAACUCAUCCCAGUUCGGAUUGUAGGCUAAAACUCGCCUACAUGAAGCUGGAGUUGCUAGUAAUCGCGAAUCAGCAUGUCGC
rnacentral:rRNA from 1 species